UGGGUGACCUGCCUUUCAGUGAGGAAUACCGGCGAGAAAUCGCCGACAAUGCCGCAUACGCUCGCGGGAUCAUAGCCGUGAGCAAAGCUCCGCAAGGGGCGCUGGAAGAGGGGCCCGUGGCCGAUUAGCUGGUUGGUGGGGUAACGGCCUACCAAGGCGACGAUCGGUAGCUGGUCUGAGAGGACGAUCAGCCACACUGGGAUUGAGAACGGCCCAG
rnacentral:rRNA from 1 species